CACACCCGUUCCCAUACCGAACACGGUAGUUAAGCUCUUCAGCGCCGAUGGUAGUCGGGGGCUUCCCCCUGUGAGAGUAGGACGCCGCCAAGC
rnacentral:rRNA from 1 species